rnacentral:rRNA from 1 species
GAUGAACGCUGGCGGCGUGCCUAAUACAUGCAAGUCGAGCGAACAGACGAGGAGCUUGCUCCUCUGACGUUAGCGGCGGACGGGUGAGUAACACGUGGAUAACCUACCUAUAAGACUGGGAUAACUUCGGGAAACCGGAGCUAAUACCGGAUAAUAUAUUGAACCGCAUGGUUCAAUAGUGAAAGACGGUUUUGCUGUCACUUAUAGAUGGAUCCGCGCCGCAUUAGCUAGUUGGUAAGGUAACGGCUUACCAAGGCAACGAUGCGUAGCCGACCUGAGAGGGUGAUGAGCAGAAAUGGAAAGGAGAAAGCGGAAAGCACAGUCAGGGAGGAACAAGUGGGGAAAAUGGGCGAAGGGGGGCAAGACUGAGACAGAAAUAAAGAGGGGGUGAAGAAGGUGUUAGGGUCGUAAAACCUGUUUGUUGGGAAAGAAAAGAAGCCGGCGAAUACACAGGUGCCGUGAAGGUACCUAAAGAAUAAGAAAAGGAUAACUUCGUG